AGCGAACGCUGGCGGCAGGCCUAACACAUGCAAGUCGAACGGAUCCUUCGGGAUUAGUGGCGGACGGGUGAGUAACACGUGGGAACGUGCCUUUUGGUUCGGAACAACUCAGGGAAACUUGAGCUAAUACCGGAUAAGCCCUUCGGGGAAGGAUUAUCGCCAUUAGAGCGGCCCGCGUCUGAUUAGCUAGUUGGUGAGGUAAAGGCUCACCAAGGCUACGAUCAGUAGCUGGUCUGAGAGGAUGAUCAGCCACAUUGGGACUGAGACACGGCCCAAACUCCUACGGGAGGCAGCAGUGGGGAAUCUUGCGCAAUGGGCGAAAGCCUGACGCAGCCAUGCCGCGUGAAUGAUGAAGGUCUUAGG
rnacentral:rRNA from 1 species